UACGAAGGGGGCUAGCGUUGUUCGGAAUUACUGGGCGUAAAGCGCACGUAGGCGGAUUGUUAAGUUAGGGGUGAAAUCCCAGGGCUCAACCCUGGAACUGCCUUUAAUACUGGCAAUCUCGAGUCCGAGAGAGGUGAGUGGAAUUCCGAGUGUAGAGGUGAAAUUCUUAGAUAUUCGGAGGAACACCAGUGGCGAAGGCGGCUCACUGGCUCGGUACUGACGCUGAGGUGCGAAAGCGUGGGGAGCAAACAGG
rnacentral:rRNA from 1 species